rnacentral:rRNA from 1 species
UACGGGGGGAGCAAGCGUUGUUCGGAUUUACUGGGCAUAAAGAGCGCGUAGGCGGUCUGACAAGUCCCCUGUGAAAGCCCCCGGCUUAACCGGGGAACUGCAUGGGAUACUGUUGGGCUAGAGUGCAGGAGGGGAGAGCGGAAUUCCUGGUGGAGCGGUGAAAUGCGUAGAUAUCAGGAGGAACACCAAUAGCGAAGGCAGCUCGCUGGGACGUUACUGACACUGAGGCGCGAAAGCGUGGGGAGCGAACAGG